rnacentral:rRNA from 1 species
GACUGCUAGUCGAGUGGCUCAGCCAAUACGAGCCACGGCAUACAGCUCAGUAACACGUGGCUAAUCUGCCCUUAGGACGAGAACAACCCCGGGAAACUGGGGCUAACUCUCGAUAGGCGAAGAACUCUGGAAUGAGUCUUCACCUAAAUAGUUCAGCGUUACGCUCGUUGGACCGCCUAAGGAUGAGGCCGCGACCGAUCAGGUUGUUGGUGAGGUAAUGGCUCACCAAGCCUUUUACCGGUGCGGGCCGUGGGAGCGGGAGCCCGGAGAUGGGCACUGAGACAAGGGCCCAGGCCCUACGGGGCGCAGCAGUCGCGAAAACUUUGCAAUACACGAAAGUGUGACAGGGCUAUCCCGAGUGCCAUCCGCUGAGGAAGGCUUUUACCCAGUCUAGAAAGCUGGGGGAAUAAGGAGAGGGCAAGUCUGGUGUCAGCCGCCGCGGUAAUACCAGCUCUCCGAGUGGUGUGGAUGUUUAUUGGGCCUAAAGCAUCCGUAGCUGGCUAAGUUAGUCCCUUGUUAAAUCCACCAAAUUAAUCGUUGGAUUGCGGGGGAUACUGCUUGGCUAGGGGACGAGAGAGGCAGACGGUAUUUCCGGGGUAGGGGUGAAAUCCUAUAAUCCCGGGAAGACCACCAGUGGCGAAGGCUGUCUGCUAGAACGCGCCCGACGGUGAGGGAUGGAAGCUGGGGGAGCGAACCGGAUUAGAUACCCGGGUAGUCCCAGCUGUAAACGAUGCAGCUAGGUGUUUGGACGGCCACGUGCCGUUCUAGUGCCGCAGGGAAGCUGUUAAGCCUGCCGCCUGGGGAGUACGAUCGCAAGAUUGAAACUUAA